GACGACCUGAAACCGCGGCGCUUUGCCAUUUAAACUAUAUAUUUUGCAGCGGUUGUAGGGUUUAAAUGUCGACCCUCAGAUAUUACAAGACACAUCCAACUAUCUAACAACGUAGGCUGGUGCAGUUUGAGUAUCAGAGAAUGCAGAGAGGGAGGAGGCAGAGGAGUUGGAAGUGCAGACAGAACGUUACAUCCAAGACCUCCAGCAGGCCCUGAGUGGGACUGGAACCUCCUCUACUGACUACAGCUUCACCUUGACCUCUAACCCCGGCCUAUUCCAUGGGUUAUGUGGCAAGUCAUAACAUAGGCUGUGUUUUCUGCCCCAACAAGUUAAGCCAUUUAACGACUUUCCUGAACUAUAACCCUUCCCAAAACUUAACCCUUGGACAUGAUCCUUAAAAAUGCUAAUAUCGGAAACCAUGACUUGAAUUCAAUUUGUGUCACAAAUGCUAAAAUAUUAGCAUUUGGAAACAGUGGCAGGGAAAAUAAAACCAAAGCAUGGAUUGCUGUCAAACCUUGUCCAAAGACUGUUUAUAAGGACCCUCUAACAAGCACUUAUUGAGCUCUAACUAGCACCCAGGAAGGCAUUGAACCCAGGAAGGCAUUGAACCCAGGAAGGCAUUGAACCCAGGAAGGCAUUGAACCCAGGAAGGCAUUCAUGUGGUGAAGUAACUCUAGGCUCUAGGAGGUUGCCAUGCGUUAAGAGUGUCAUAUACCUGAAGGCCAGUGGUGUGAUGCAAUACCGCUAUGUUAUUAUCACAACCUUGGGAAAUUCGGCUUGCAGCUUCACAUUAUAUUAAAACACACAAGUCAGUCAGGCAAUCAUACCAACAGCGGGGUUGUAUUGGUACUACAGUUGAUGGAUCAUUCAGGAGUGUUUGUUGUUGCUUUCGAGUGCUAAUAUAAGGCUCUGUGAUGUCAUCCUAUGAUAUUCAUGUCUUCCUCCCACUCUGUGCUUUGACAGGAAAAUGAUCCUCAUCACGUUGUAAAGUAGAAUACAGCACUAUCACUAUGGAGGUAAACACACACACACAGCCAACUAACAGCUUAGUGACGGUCAGUGUGCUCAGAGGUCGACCACAUGCGCACACACACACACAUCUGCUUUGAGCUGUGUUGCCAUAGUAAUAAUGUAAUGAUAGAAUGGAAAUCCUAGUGCAUGUGUUUCAGUAGAAAAUGGAAAUGAAUAGAAUUGACUGUUUCAGAAACGAGAGUUUUGGACAAGGCCAUUCACAGAACACACUGUGGUGUAUCAUCCCUGAGGAAAAAGCGCCUAACAUUUUUCUGUUGCUCAACAGUUAAUAAUAAAUAUGAAUUAAUUCAUCAUAGAGAUAUGACUCAUUACUAUUAAAGGGUCCAUGUCUAAUGUGGGGUGGCAGGGUAGCCUAGUGGUUAGAGCGUUGGACUAGUAACCGGAAGGUUGCAAGUUCAAAUCCCCGAGCUGGCCUGGACUGGAGAGUUAGAAACAUCUGGGUGGUUGUUGGGUAGGCCUUGAUGUAAAGAUUGGAAUGUGAUCUUCAUGUUUUUACUGCACAUGACUGUCCCAGAGCAUCAGCCCCAGGACGGCUCCCACAUAGCUGUGAGUGGAUUAUCACUAUUAUCGUGCCAGCAGUGAUCAGUUUAUCAUCAUAACAGCAACAUGCGUUUGACUAUAAACGCCCUGUAGCACUCACUUCCGUCAUCAUGAAGUGCUUUGAGAGACUAGUCAAGGAUCAUAUCACCUCCAUCCUACCUGACACCU